CAUUCCCCCUCUGGCUUCCGAGCACUCCUCCUCCUGCUCUCCUGACUGAAUGCUGCUGCCUGAGCCCGGCCCCUCCUCAGCUCGAGGAGCUGCUUUUACUCACUCAAGCACCAAGGGACACAGGAAUCAUGACUCUGCUAUAGAGGGCAGCCUCUACGCAAGCUCCUCCAACAACAGACACAUUUCCCACAGCUGAUCUUCAAGGCAGAAUACAUCAUGAAGAAUCUCUAAGGACCUUUUCUUUCGUCUUUCCUCUGUGAAACUCACCUUUAAGUUUUCUGAAAUUCAAAAUUUGUUACGAAAGAUGAGUGUGAAAAAAAAGGCUGCACUUGUCAUCAGCUGGCAGAAGUCAUUUUCCAUCAUGGCCCCUUGGAGGAAAGGUCGCAUGAAAUUAGACCUGAUGGAUGUCUUGUAGACAAAAAGAGACUGAUAAUAUACCACCACCUUGGCUCUAAACCCAGAAGACCAGGCUUCCUAAAACAACAAAAAAUGCUUGGCUGCUCCACCUGAGCCUCUUCUUCUGUAGCUCCAGAUGAUAAGUGGUCAGUUUAACCACCCACAGUGACCCUGACAAACACACACCACAGCAGGGCUGUAAAAAUAGCAGGCCUGUCGCAGCCUGUUUAUGACCUCGUGUUGUCAGAGGCCAACUAAACCAACAGCUAAGCCCAAAGGCUUUCCAUAUAUGUGUAGUGUGUGUGUUUUUUUUAAAGAGACAAAUAUCGUUCUCUGUAUUAAGAGACAGCCAGAUGGCACAAACCAGAAGGUUUAGCCAACAUCUAUGAGAAAAUUAAAGCCACCUUUUAUAAGAGCGUGUGCAGUUUGAAGGUGAUUUCAUGAGAGGAAAAAAGAAAGUGCUUCACUUAAGGAUGUAUGAUGAUCGUCUUUGGAGCCACAUUCACAGUUUGUAUUUCUUCUUUAUGAUACUUUUGCUUAUUCGCCAUGUAGCACACAUACAGUAUACUUUUAUCAUGUUUUUUUAAAUUUAGAAAUAAAUAUUAUUUUUAUUUUAAAAAAUCUUUUUUUUUUUACAGGAAACUUUAAGUAACAUAGCCUUUACCGAAUAAAUAUCACAGUUUAGCUUCCUCACCUGAGGUAUUAUCAUAUCAUCAUCAUCAUUAUAGUUUGAAAAAUGUCCAGCAGUCAAAAAAGCAUCUGAUGUCACCAGAGCUGCUUAAAAUUAUUUCCAGAUAACUGCUCACAUUAAGCAUUUGUAUUAUCAUUAUUACAGUUUGGAAAACCUGCAAAUUAAACACAAACUGGAGAACUUUAUUUGUUAUCGUAAUACAACAAAUGAUUCUGAGAUGCCAAAGUUUUUGUUAUUUAUUUGAGGAAAUUCAUUUUGCAAACAUGUAACUCCGUAAGACCACCACUCACCCAACUGUUGUUUUGGCAUUUCUGUUCUUAGAUGGAAUAACUGAUUAGAUCCUUAAUAAUAAUCAUUAAACCACACUCACAAUGCAACAUUAACUAAGGUCUUGAUACCACUUGGGUGCAAUUGAAUCCCAGUGACAUAAAUUUUAUCAUCAAACAGUGAGACAGGAUGUUUCUAGUUCCCUCUGCCUUCAAGGCAGCUCAGAGCUUUGUUAUUAAGGUGUGAAAG
ensembl:lncRNA